GCCGAAGCUGCUGUUUGCCAGAUGGACAAAAACUGAGGAAAUGUCCUUUCUGAGCUACCGUAGGUUCAAGCAGGCCUUGGUACCUCCUACUUCCUGGUUUACCCAUUGGACAGGGUAUAAAAGCUGCAUAUAAUGCAGCUGUGUCAGCAUGCUUGUCCCUAUCCUAUAACUGUUGGAGUCUGGCUUGAGAAUCCAGUGAGCUGACUGAUAUGGCUGGUUCGACACCUGCAGAAUCAAGUUUGUUCUAUAUGCGUUGGGCAAGAAACCUGGUGGUUCCAUGAGUACAAACAAAAGUCUUUUAGUACACUAAACUGCAAUUGUUGAUUAUGGGCAGUCUACCUCAAGUGAAAGAACCAUCCAGGUCAAAGGAGAGAAGAUGGGCCAGGCCUGGGCUCUUCAUCAACGUAUUUGUUUUGGACGGUCCAGCGAAGACAACAGGCUCCUGCCUCAGGUAGUGGUCCUUCUAGAGCUCCUGCGAUAGUGGAAAUUACCAGCAGUCUUGAGUGAACGGACGGUCCAGAGAAGACAACAGGUUCCUGGUUCAGGCUCCCUAGGAGUGGCCAAGCAACUUCAGCCUCCUGUGAAAAUUGCUUGCUGACUUGAGGAUUUGAGUGAUAGUUGAGUCCUUUUCUCCAGUACUGCUGAUGUCAUGCAGGCUGUGCGACAGUCCUAAUACUAUCUUCUGUUUAGAAGGCCGGACUGUUUUAUGUGUUUGCUGACCAUCUGCUUCUAACAUGUACUGAACUACACAGUAAUUUUAAUAUUUGCAGUUUCCCAUCUGUGUGUAAAAAGAUACUAACUUGUCAGUGUUUAAAUAUUUCUGGUUGGGUAAAGUACUGUUGCGCUACCACGCAGGACGCUCCUGCCAACUUAACAAUGUGAGUAACAGGUAAGAAAUUUCCCAGUAGAAUUCAACACUCUACAGGCUUUUCCAGAUCUCGUUGACCAUAUGACAGGAUUUGGCAGAAGGUAAGAC
ensembl:lncRNA